GUUGGGGCCGUAGGCUCAUUCCUGUGUGGACGGAAGGGGCCUGGGGCUUGAACCCGAGUCCCAGUUCACGUGCUGUGUAGGCGGGUACGUCGCAGCAGGGAACAGCCGGGGCCUGCGAGCGCUCUGCCCCUCCCCCCACCUCCCGCAUGGAGCAUCCCCCAGAUCCGGGGGAUUGUUCUACUGACAAGAUCUGCCAGGCAAGCUUGGAAUCUGGAAGUUCACAUUACUUAGCUAUUGUUCAGGUGAGGGUUUCAUUAAGUGAUUUUGAAGUACAGCUGAUUUUCCUAAUUAAACUUCACAUUUGAAAGACUAUUGUUGAAUCCAACAAUAAUUUAAGGCUGUUUAAAAAUGAGAACUAGAUAUUUAAUUUUACCUACAUUCUUUAGGAAGGGGCAUCACUUCCCAUCAGUCUAAACUGAUUGUAGAAGAGAGAUUGGCAACUUAGCAGUGAAUUCCAAGAAGUUGUAACUUGCCAAUGUUAGGUGUAAGUAGUCCUCUUCUUUGAUGUGGGGUUUGUUUGUUUUUUUUUUCCCCCCACACUGUGACUGACUGAACUGACAAAAUAACUUAAGUGUAGAUCAAGUACUAAGCAUCAAAGAAGGGGGGCUCUGUGUUUUUUUUAUUAUUAUUUCUUUUCCCCUGUAACAGUAGCUGCAGUGG
rnacentral:lncRNA from 1 species